CUUUUAAAUUUGAAGCAUCAUGAAUACCGGACGGGUAGAAAUGCUAACAACAAUUAUGGAUUUUCUCUAACUGACAGUUAGUGGAUAAUCCCUACUCAAAUCGAUCCUAGCCAUUGUCAUUCGUACUGUGCUUAUGUAUCAACUACAGAUACGGAUAUUCCUUGCCAGCUUUCCCCAAUCGUAAUCGAUCUGCUCUAGUUUGAGAUUUUUGCCGUUCGAUCGUUGUAGUGGGCGUUGCUAGGAGAGAGAACUAGAGUGAAGCAUACAAGGUGUUUUCGUCUUUGUGAUACUAGUGAAUUGCGCAUACUCUGCCCAGUUCUCAGUUUCAAGCAUGGAUCCGGAGGCUGCACGAACUGCUCGAGAAUCUCUAGACCUAGCAUUCCAUAUGUCCAAUAUUCUUGAUACGGGUCUAAGAAAAGGGAAACCCUCAUUGUUGUCAUCAUCUCUUGCGUCGGCUUCUUCUUCUUUGCCAUAAUAAAUGGAUUUUUUUAUUAGAUGCCAUUCUGUCCAUGCUUGCUUAAGUUCUCUAAUCCAUCUUUUUUGUCUGUUCUUGAUGUUGUUCUUUGAAUUGCUUUGCUUGUUCUUUUGUAUGAGCUUCAUUUGAUGUACAGUGGCAUUGUUUUAGUACAAAAAUUGAUGUGUUGCAAUUAGGACCUCCUAUUUGAAGGCUUAUCUUUGAGAGUAAAUUUUCAGUUAGCGUAAAGAGCCGAGUUCCA